ACGAUGGAUACUAGGUGUGGGGGGUCUGACCCCCUCCGUGCCGCAGUUAACACAAUAAGUAUCCCACCUGGGGAGUACGAUCGCAAGGUUGAAACUCAAAGGAAUUGACGGGGGCCCGCACAAGCGGUGGAGUAUGUGGUUUAAUUUGAAGCAACGCGAAGAACCUUACCAGGGCUUGACAUCCUACUAACGAAGCAGAGAUGCAUUAGGUGCCCUUCGGGGAAAGUAGAGACAGGUGGUGCAUGGUUGUCGUCAGCUCGUGUCGUGAGAUGUCGGGUUAAGUCCCGCAACGAGCGCAACCCUUAUUGUUAGUUGCUACGCAAGAGCACUCCAGCGAGACUGCCGUUGACAAAACGGAGGAAGGCGGGGAGGACGUCAAAUCAUCAUGCCCCUUAUGUCCUGGGCUACACACGUACUACAAUGGUGGUAAACAGAGGGAAGCAAGACCGCGAGGUGGAGCAAAUCCCUAAAAGCCAUUCCAGUUCGGAUUGCAGGCUGAAACCCGCCUGUAUGAAGUUGGAAUCGCUAGUAAUCGCGGAUCAGCAUGCCGCGGUGAAUACGUUCCCGGGCCUUGCACA
rnacentral:rRNA from 1 species